rnacentral:rRNA from 1 species
UACGGGGGGGGCAAGCGUUGUUCGGAAUUACUGGGCGUAAAGGGCGCGUAGGCGGCCUGCUAAGUCGGACGUGAAAUCCCUCGGCUCAACCGAGGAACUGCGUCCGAUACUGGUGGGCUUGAAUCCGGGAGAGGGAUGUGGAAUUCCAGGUGUAGCGGUGAAAUGCGUAGAUAUCUGGAGGAAUACCGGUGGCGAAGGCGGCAUCCUGGACCGGCAUUGACGCUGAGUGAGCGAAAGCCAGGGGAGCAAACGGG